ensembl:lncRNA
CCAGCUACGUGGUGAAAAACCACACCAUAUCUAGCAAGUAUGGAAAGCCAAGUAUAUUUGUAAAAUCAGCCACAAGCAAAUUUAAAACAUCCCAACUGAGUCUUACUGAAGAUCAGGAGAGAAGGGCCAGAGAGAUCCUUGUUCCACAUUCCCCUCUGGUCUCCGUGGACAAAGUGGACCCUUCAGAAGAUGGGUACGUCAGUCUCCUGGGAGAGAUAGAGGAAUUGCAGGAGGUGAGGAUGGCACAGGUGCAAUUUGGUAAAGUGCCCGUCCUGGACUUUAAGCUAAACUGCAACUCAAGAGCAGUUGAGGUUUCUCUGUGGAGAGAUGAGGCUCUUAUCGAGGUGUUAAAUGGAGACACUGUGGAGCUGACCCACCUCCGCCCAAACACUAAACCGAAUGGAAACAUUAAAUUCAAUUCUUCCACAUACACCACCGUAAAGGUUUCAGAAAGGCGGCUCAUUGAGGAGACGGUGGAGGUGAUCGGAGUGUCUUCCGGAAUGGGCGUGAUCGUGCUUCUGGGGGUCGAUUAUGAGGAGUACAUUGUCCCAGACACAAUGUAUUCAGGAGACGUUGAGGACCUUGUGGAACAGCUGCCAAUAAAAAUGAAAAUAAAACAUAUGAACAACCGGGUGCUAAGCAUCGAAGACUAGAACUUAAAUGAUAUAGGUUAAUAUUUAAUAGGUUAAGGGAGUAGUUUUUUUUACCCCAUUAUUAAAAGAUUAUUUGUUCAGCUGUUAAAUUUUUUGUGCUUGCAUAAUAUAUGUUGGGGGUCCUCCAGGAAUGUGGUUGAGAACCACUGAUAUAGUUAAUUGAUUUGUUUGUUUAUAUGUUAAUACUUUGCAAUUGGUUUUCAAUAGUUCUUCAGUUCACUUUGUAUUUCUCAUUUUUUUUAUUUUUUUGGUUCAAUUAAAGUCAUUAGAUAAUUGUCAGUUAUGUCAGUUUUGAUGCUUUUCACACAUACACACCACAGCCUAGGCUAUAUAUUACUGACAGUACAACAUUCUCAUAUGAUAAUUACUUACAUUUUCA